GCAUUAAUGGGGUAGUGGUAACCUGGGUCGUUGCCACUUUAUGGGUCACGUGACCGCGUAGUCACUACCCUAAUAGUACUAACUUCGACCCGCCCUGGGUUCGAUUCCCAGUUAAUGCA